GCAUUAAUGGGGUAGUGGUAACCUGGGUCGUUGCCAUCAUGCGUCGGUUUAUGGGGUUUCGACCCGCUGGGGGUUUGAUUCCCCCUUAAUGCA